GGCAUUGUAGCUCAGUAUGGAUAGAGCGCCACGCCGCUAUUGAAUGGGUUGCAAACCAUUUAAUUAUGAUUCUAGACAAAGGCUAAUAUGGGAGGUCGCUGGUUCGAGUCCAGCCAAUGCCC
rnacentral:tRNA from 1 species